AGUUCUCACAUACUGUGAUCGGUCAGUGAGGUAGUCCAGAAUCCAUGUUGUGAGGUGAUGGUCCACUCCAGAGUUCUCCAGCUUGUCCUACAGGACCGUGGGCAGAAUGGUGUUAAAGGCACUGGAGAAAUCAAAGAACAUGAUUCUCUCAGUGCUCCCAGCGGUCUCCGGGUGAGAGAGGGAACGAUGCAUGAGGUGAAUGACAGCAUCAUCCGCUUCAAUGCCAGGCUGGUAAGUAAACUGAAGUGGGUCCAGUGAUGAGCUCACCAGGCACCGAAGCUGAGCUAGGACCAGCCACUCCAGGAUCUUCAUCAGGAAGUCAGAGCCACCGGACUACAGCUGUUGAGGUCCUUGGGGCGUGAAGUCUUUGGCACUGGUAUCACACAGGAGGUUUUCCAGAGCUGUGGGACUCUCCCCAGCCUCAGGCUCAGGUUGACGAGGUGCUCCAUCACCCCACACAGUUGGUCUGCACAGGACCUGACCACCCGUGAGCUGAUGCCAUCUGGACCCUCAGGUUUCCUGGCUUUAAUCCUCCUCAGUUCCCUCCUAACCUGGGUGGUUGAGAGAGAACCACUCUCAACACAAGAGAGAAGCUUUGUGUUGAGUGUGUAUUGGAUGCUGUUGUUGGGGGUGGGGAGGAGUGAGCAGGGUGAGUAGAGGAGGUGUUAAGUAUCUGAGGUGUCAGAGGUGGAACAGCAGCAGUGGGGGUGGGUGAGUCUGCAGCCGAUGUUGAAGACUGCCUCAUGGAUGAAUCAAAUCAGUUGAAGAAAUGAUUCAGUUCAUUUGCCCACCUCACAUCCCCCUAGGCAGAAAGUUCUGACCUUUGUGGCCUGAGAUGGUUCUGAGGCCUCUCCAGACCUCGCCAAUGUUGUUUUGUUGAAGCUGGUUCUCCAUCUUCUGCCUGUAGCUGUCCUUCCCUUUCCUUAUCAGUCCCCUCAUGGCCACUGAUCAAUGGUCACGACAAUUUGGAUACUAAUGAUCAUGGAACUGACCUCACAGCCCAUUGUUGUAGCUAGAUUCUGUCAUUAUGCAAAUGUACUGUUUAUAAGGUUGGGGAAACCUGCAGUCUGCUGAGACUGAAGAAGUCACCAGUUGGUGAUGAAACAUUUCUCCCAUUCUGGUGCUCUUUAAAGAAUUUUUGAGAUAAAAGUAAGGGUGGAGAUUGGCCUAUAAUUAGAUAAGACAGCUGGGUAAAGUGAUGACUUUUCUCUUGUUCAUAGUCCCCUCGUGCUUCAAGAGGACCACCGUCCUGAGGAAACCUAAUGUGAGCUGUCUCAGUGACUGUCACCCAAAAGCACUUACUUCCAUUGUUAUGAAGUGCUUUGAGCAUAUAGUCAAAGUUCACAUCAUGUCUUCGAUGCCUGCUCGACCCAUUUCAGUUUACAUGAAGGGCCAAAAAGAUUCACAGAUCAUGCAAUAGCAUUAGCUCUGUAUACUGCCCCCUCACAAGAAAACAGCCAGAACAGCAUCUAAAGAACAUACGGUUACAGUGUAACCUUGGUUCUGUGAGUGAGAGGCUAUCUCUCCACUCCGUUACAUAUUCCAUAUGUACGGGGCACGACCCCCCCUUGGUAGUGGCGUGUGGAUACUUCUUUAAGACACUCCGGCUCGCCCGGCCACACCUCACAGCUUAUUUAUAAACAGCUGUACCAGCGAUAGUUUGAUCGGAAUGCGCCUCCGAGCGGCCUUAAGGUGGAGAGAUAGUCUCUCACUCACAGAACCAAGGUUACACCGUAACCGUACUUUCUCUAUUAUAUUGAGGCUAUCUCUCCACUCCAUUAGAUAUUCCAUAUGUACGGGGUAACUCUGUAAGACACCCCAUGAGGAGACGGUGCAACUGAACCGAUAGUGAAAAUGCCAUUGACAAAUGUACACAUAAGCAGACCACCCUGGUCAGAGCUUCACCAGACACGAAGGCCAAGCCGGGGGGGGGGGGGGGGGGGCAUCAGUCAGCAGGCGCAAGAUUGGCCUGAACCGGCCCUGCAGAUGCAAGAACCCCAAUUGAUUGGCCACUCAAAGUCAGCCCGUGAACCACCAGGCCGAACGGCAGGAAGCGCAGCACCAGUUUGGAACCUGCUGGCUACAAACCUACAACAUGCAGGCAAUAUGCCAGACAGAGAGUCACACGCCACAGCGAGGUCUGACUGAUGCGUAAACCGGCGAACCGCAGGCAACAAGCCAGGGGAACGCAGCAGGCCGAGGUAGGGAUGUGACUUGUCCAUCCCCAGAGUCAAAGCCGCCCCGUGCCAUCGACAGACAGGGAAGGGGGGCCUGGCAGCCUAGCCAGCAGAAGUGGAGGGCUAAGCAUUGGGAGGACCCCAAGGUCCACUCCCAGCACCGAGCAGCCACUAUGUGCUGCCCGCAGGCAGAUGAGCAACAAGAGCGAACUCACAAACAAGACAGUCAUUCAGUUACAGCCCACUGAGUGGGCCUGUGCAGGCCGCGUAAGCUGUGACAGGCAGGCGUGCACCAGACAGAGAGCCAGAGCUGCAGGCUGGAGGACUCACACUCACUGGCUGACGAGCCCCAUGUGCACACUCUGCAAAAGAUCUCCAGCUGGGGCCUGAGAAGCCUAGGGCCAGAACCUGGAAUCCCAGGAGCAGACUGAGGAAAGAAGCACAGCUCACUGAGCUGACGAUCGGGAACCCAACUGGCCCUGCAAACCUGCAACAUGCAGGCUAGACGCCAGACAGGGAGCCAUCGCUGCAGGCUGAGGAACACUCACACACAGCGAGGUCCAAUUGGUGCGUAAACCGGCGAGCCGCGGGCAAUACGUCCAUCUGGACGUGGGGAGCUGGCGUCCUAGCCCACCAAAAGGCCACAUGGGGCCUAAACCCGAAGGCAGAGUGGCCGCUAAGCACUGUCCGCAGAAAGGGGAGCAGCAAGAGUGAACUCCAUAAGAGACACUCGUGCACAGGCGGCGCUGCAGGCUGGAGAACACUCACUCGCCGGCUGAAGAAUCAGACUAGGUGAGGUCCAGCUGGCCGGUAAACUGAUGAAUGUGGGCAAUAAGCCAGGGGAGCACAGCCUAUUAAGCCACUCGAGCAUGGCAGCUAGCUAAUGCCAUGACGCACAGUGGAUGGUCCUAGGAGCCAAGCAUCCAACCCGCACUGUCCCACAAGGGCGAGGGGCUGGUGGCUUAGUCCAUAGAGAGUGGAGGGCCCAAGUGGGGAGGCGGUCCAAGUGGGGGGGGGCUUGCAGUCUAGUCCGUUGAAAGGCGAAGUGGGGACUUACCCCGAAGGUCUGCCCCAGGGCCGAGUGGCCACUAGCAUUGUCCGCAGAAAGGGGAGCAGCAAGAGUGAACUCGAGAAUGAGACACUUGUGCACAGCCGGUGCUGCAGGCUGGAGAACACAUACUCGCCAGCUGAGGAAUCACACACAGCGAGGUCCAGCUGGCGUGUAAACCUGUGAAUGCAGGCAAUACGCCAGGGGAACACAGCCUGCAGCUGCAGCAGCUAUAUGCCAGAGAGAAUCCUGGCUAAAAUAGGCUGGAGAACACUCACUCGCCACAGCGAGGUCCAACUGGCGCGUAAGCCUGAGAAAUGCAGCCAACACGCCAGGGGAACACAGCCUGCAGCUGAAGUGGAGGUCAGAGUCAGGGACAUGACUCACCGGGGGGUGUCAGCUCACUGAGCAGGCCCCUGCCGGCCAUGUAAACCCACAACAUGUGGGCAAUCUCCUAGACAGAGAGCCAUCGCCGCAGGCUGGAGAACUGUCAACCACUGCCUGAGGUGUCAAUGCAGCGUGGCUCGACUGGCAUAUAAACCUGUGAACCGCGGGCAAUAUGCCAAGGGAACAUAGCCUGCAGCAGGAGCUGGCCACUAGGCCCAACUCAAAGGAUGUCAGGGGGGAGGAGGGUGGCUGGAGGACAGCUGAGUCUUAGCUCCAAGUCCUCCCUGUCUCACCUGUAUACGGCCAUCUGCGAAGGACUCAAACUGGGGCUGGAGAUCUCCAGGGCCCCAAGUUGGAGUCUUGGGGACAGGGCAAGGCCCAAAAGCUCUGGGCCCCCCUACCCUGGCCAUAUGCCCGCACAGGCACCUCAACAGCGAGGUGGCUGCAGGGUCGACCGGCAGCCUCAUCAGGCAGCCCUAUGACCAGAGCCGGGGCUGACAGCCAGAGGUGGUGACAAAAAAAUGAGGUGAAAGAGGAGCCGGUAGUAUGGCGUGCUCCCAUAUAAGCGAGGGCAGGUGCGAGGAAGGAGCCAACAGCUGUCCUGCACCGUCUGUGUCCCCAGCCCGCCUGCAGCUGUCACUCCAAGUGCCGCUGAUGGAGAGUCAAAUGGUAUUAUUUAACAGUGCUUGCCGCUGUUCUCCAUUUUGCUUGUCUUGCCGUAUGUUAAGUGGGUGACUGGACAUUUCAUUUUGGCUAGCUUGUUUAUUAGCAAUGACUUGCGCCACAUUCAUGUGCUCCUUACUUUUUCAUGUUUGUCAAAUAAAGAAUCGUUAAAAUUCUUUGAGCAUUUAAAAAAUGCACCUGAUUUGUCUGCUAGAUGUGGAUGAAAGCGGCAAAUCUUGCACCACAUUUCAGCGCACUCAUUGUUAGCUUCAAGCCAUGGCACAUCUUGGAGCCACUUUUCUGAAAAAAAGUCUUUUCUUCGGCUCUGGCGUUUCUUAGCUGGUGGCGGCACACCAAAGAAGCUGCUUAAUGUCUGGGGUUUAUUUUGGGAAAUUUAGCUGGUGACAAGAAACACAUGGAAGGUUAAAUGACACGGUCAAGUAUGCAAAGGCACUUGGUAACGCAAGUGUCACUAGGCAUUCCUAAUUUUUGUCACGCAUGCGUACCUGAGUACCAGUUAUGUGCACCCCUGUCUAUAACACACAGACAAACAACCCCUCACUCAAUAACUGCUAUCAAAUUAUCAUGUCUAUUCAACCUAACAUGAAUGUUUUAGAUCUGUGGUAGGAAGGUGGAGUACCUGAAGAAAACACACACAUGCACAGUUAGAAAUACAAACUCAGCCAAGGCUUUAUACUAGGAACCUUCUGGCUGUGAGACAACAGUGCUAACCACCAUACCACUGUGCCACCCAUAGUAACUCAUAUAAUAAUUAUUAUUAUCAUUUCCACACUGUUCAGCAUUUAGUCUAUCAAGUUUGUUGUUAUAGCUAACAACUACUGCAGGAAAAUGGCAAGUUUCUUUAAGGUAUUGUUCUGUGUGUUCGUAAUGCUUGUAACCCUGGACUAUACUUCUGAAGAUGAGAUUAAAAUGGGAGUCUCUGGGAAUAACUAGGUGAGGAGCUAUUAAUGCCUUCAUAUACCAGCUGCCAUAAUUUUGUACUUUGCUUCAAAUAAAUAACUAAUACUUUUUUUUUUAAAGGAAUGUCCUAUUAAACAAAAACAACAAAAUAACAAAUGCAAUAAAAACCCAGUCCUUCCUCACUGUAAAUAUUUCACUGAAAUUCCAUUUAAAAGAAAGGGUAAGCACUCUCGUCACCUGACCACUUUUUAGCCAAUGAGCUUCAGUUUUCACCCCUCCCCCCUCACUUCGUGACUUGGAGUUGAGGAGUAUUGAAGCUUGGCUGUGAACUGGUGUGGAGACGCUAACAGGUAACUUUAAACUUUUGAAUUUUUCCAGCUUUAUAGUCCAGCAACCAGUUAGAUUUAGUUUUGUCAAGGUUUUUCUUUGAUGUAUAUUCCUUGAUUAAGUUUUGUAUUUCAAGCUAAUUCAAAUGCUAAAUCUAGCAUUUUUUGAUGACACGUUGUAUAUUUAUUAGUCAAGGUUAAAUACCUAGUCUAACACAUGUGUUUUUAAUUAAACUGUGACAUUUGAAAUUACUGAGAUGUUAUUAUUUACUCAUCCCACUGUCUCCAGAGUUUAAGCAAUGCUGCAAUAUACGUGACAUGCUAUUAAUGAGACAUUUCAGAUAACCGUGGUAGCUAACAUUUAACUCUCUGGAGUGCAGAUCACAUGGCCAAUUUAUGGUCUAUCAACUACAUGCGUAUCAGUUUUUUAAAAUGUGUUGAUAGGCCAAGUAAAACCAGAUUGAAGAUGUCAUCACGUUUAGUGCAGGAACAAAUAAAAACGUGAUUUCCUUUAAAAAAGAGAUAGAUAGAUAUAUUUUUACCUCUCCUUCCCUAUUGUGUUGAAUAAAUGAACAAGAGCCGAUCAAACAAUUAUAUGGCUGUUUUGGUUGUUUACUAAUAGGGAAACUUGUGGGAGUGAUGGCAGGAGAGAGCGGUGUCUAUAACAACUUUUGAGAUGUGAGAGAUUUGUGACAUUAAGUGUGUCUGGAGUGUAUAGUUAGUUUGUAGUUAAAUCUGGGUUUGAUUGAUUGUUUUGUGUGUCAGAAUGGUGAGGUGAAUGUCACCCUGACCCUGGCUAAAAAGCUACCAAAGGCAGACUGAAAUCUAAACACUGUCUCCAGGUGUGCAACAGGAGGAGUGAUACACUAAUUGCCUGCAUUUUUACAUAAACAUUUGUAUAGACUGUGGUUUGUAAAAUUUGUACAUAUGUUUUAGAAAUUUGAAAUUAAGUAAUGAGAAAAAAAUCACUAAACAUGUUUGUGGUUUUCAUAGUAAAAAGUAUAACAUUUUCCUACUCUGAUUUUAUGUUUUUGUGUAAUUUUUUUUAGGUCAAUUGUGUUAAUACAAUAUGUCAAAAUUACAAAAUAAAUGUAGUCAGACAUGUGAGGUUGUUCUGUAAAGAAUGAUGCCAAACAAGGCAAGGAAAUUUUUUUUUAACAGCGAAAUAUAGAGGUAUAAUCAAAAGUAGUCGAAAACAGCCAAUUAUACCCUUGAAAGCACCUCCUGUAAAACAUCAUUUUUCACUGUAAACUACAUUGAGAAGUAGUAUACAAAUUGUACAUUUUUUUCCCAUUUCUGAGACAGUGCAUUGCAAUGAGGCAGCCAAGAGAAAAGAUUAAACCCAUAGAUGAAGCUGAUGUGCCCAUGGCAUCGUCCUCCCUCAAAGAUGAUGAGUAGUGCAUUACAAUGAGGGAGCCAAGAGACAAGUUUAAACCCAAAGAUGAAGCUGAUGCGCCCAUGGCAUCGUCCUCCCUCAAAGAUGAUGAGCAGGGCACACCGAUCUUCCUCAUGUUGAUACGCCCAUGGCAUCGUCCUCCCUCAAAGAUGAUGAGCAGGGCACACCGAUCUUCCUCAUGUUGAUAUGCCCAUGGCAUCGUCCUCCCUCAAAGAUGAUGAGCAGGGCACACCGAUCUUCCUCAUGUUGAUAUGCCCAUGGCAUCGUCCUCCUCAAA